rnacentral:tRNA from 5 species
GGAAGCGUGGCCGAGUGGUUGAAGGCAGCAGUCUUGAAAACUGCCGACGGUUAAUCCCGUUCGUGAGUUCGAAUCUCACCGCUUCCGCCA